rnacentral:rRNA from 1 species
AACGAACGCUGGCGGCAGGCUUAACACAUGCAAGUCGAGCGCCCCGCAAGGGGAGCGGCAGACGGGUGAGUAACGCGUGGGAAUCUACCCAUCUCUACGGAAUAACGCAUGGAAACGUGUGCUUAUACCGUAUACGUCCUUCGGGAGAAAGAUUUAUCGGAGAUGGAUGAGCCCGCGUUGGAUUAGCUAGUUGGUGGGGUAAAGGCCUACCAAGGCGACGAUCCAUAGCUGGUCUGAGAGGAUGAUCAGCCACACUGGGACUGAGACACGGCCCAGUCUCCUACGGGAGGCAGCAGUGGGGAAUAUUGGACAAUGGGCGCAAGCCUGAUCCAGCCAUGCCGCGUGAGUGGUGAAGGCCCUAGGGUUGUAAAGCUCUUUCACCGGUGAAGAUAAUGACGGUAACCGGAGAAGAAGCCCCGGCUAACUUCGUGCCAGCCGCCGCCGUAACAC